ensembl:lncRNA
GGCGUAGGCCCGUGCCCCUGCUCGCGCUGCAGCCCGUGGAAGGGUUGCGUCCAGUGUAUCCUCCAGAUCUUGCGGUAGUCCUCUCGUAUCUGUGCGCGCGCGGGAGGGACAGCGGCGGCGACGGCCGGAGGUGUACGGUCAGCGGGUUGCGGAGGAUCGUGCGGGUAGCAAAGGGAGGCCGAGUGCGCCUGCGGCUCCCAGACGGCAAACGGUUGCUUCCUCUACUGAAGUCUUGAAACCCCUGAAAGUCAUCCCUGAGGGUUGGAGUUAACUUCUUCUACACUCCUGUUAAUGUUGAUAUUUUGGCCUCCUCCCAUGAAUCACAAAUGUUCUUAAUGGCAUCUAGAAUGGUGCUGUCAACUCUCACCUGGUUUCCUUAGCUCUGGUGAAGUAUUUUCGUGUAUGGAUUGUUUUUCAAAUUGAUGUUUCUGUUGGGGGAUGAGCACUGGAAAGUCCUGCUCUGCCAUCUUGCUGCCAUCUGGACUCCCAAGAACAUGCAUCAUUAUUAGAACCAUCACCCUGCAGCUAGCUUGGAUACCAUUAAAAGGGCUCACCAGCUGCAAACGGAUAAAAGUAUCUGAUACUCGGGAAGACAGAGUUUCAGGGUUUCUACCUGGAGCUACACCCUCCAGAAGCCCCUCCUUGGCCUCCCUGCACCCAGCCCCAUCCCAGCCAGUCACAUCUUGGGCUGUACGUGGUGUUUCUUGGAAACCGGAACACAGACUCCUCCAGCAGCUCCACAGGCCCCUUGUCCUCAGUGAGCAGAAGACUACAGGAGCUGGCUACUGAAGAGGCUGUCCAAGUGAUAGAGCACCUUCUUGGCCCUGCUUAGCACAUUUACUGCAGAGCUGGAUGCUACUUAUUUGUGCUCACCACCUUCAGGGACUGCAGAGGGAUUUGUCAGACCCUACUUCACUAAGGGCCACCCUCUAAGGAUCUCCAGAAGAGGCUGCCCAUAGAGAGAAGUGGCCUGCCUAGGGUCUCCACUGCCUCAGGUCCUACCCGGACACCUCUAGGGCUGAGGGGAUCGGUAUCUCUUCACCUACCUGUAAUCCACAUACCAAGUGGAAGAAUCUGCCUGCUAUUUUUUGUUUGUUUUGGAGGGAAGAGUUUUAACUACUGCUGUAAUUCCUUUAGUAGCUAUGGAACUGUUGAGGAUUUCUUUUUCUUCUUGAGUCAAUUUUCGUAAGAUAACAGUUUUCUAGGAGUUGGUCCAUUUUGCCUGCAUUUUCAAAUUCAUUGGCAUCAAGUUUCCUUUUUAUUCUCUGCUGUGUAUAAACUGUAACGAUGUCUCCUUUUUCAUUAGUGAUAUUGGUUAUUUGUGCCUUCUCACUUUUUUUCUUGAUCAAUCUCACCAGAGGUUUAUCUAUUUUAUUAGUCUUUUCAAAGAACCAACUUUUGGCUUUGUUGCUCCUCUCUAUUGUAUCUUUGUUUUCUAUUUCUUUAAUUUCCGCUCUUAUCUUUUUUGAUCUCCUUCCUUCCACAUUUUUUGGGUUUAUUCUGUUGUUCUUUUUCUAAUUUCUUUAACUGGACAUUGAGCUCAUUAAUUUUCAUUCUUGCCCAUUUUCUAAUUUGUGCAUUUAAGGAUAUAAUUUCCCUCUAACUACUGCUUCUCCAUAAGUGUAGAUAUGUAGUAUUUUCAUUAUUGUUCAGUUAUAAGUAUUUCAUUUCCAUCAAGGUUACUUCUUUUACCUGUAAGUUAUAUAGAAAUGUGUUUUUAGAUUUCCAAAUGUUUGGGGAUUUAAAAUUUUACCUCUUUGUUAUUGAAAGCUGUCUUAAUUGCAUUAUGGUCAGAGCAUGUGGUUCGUGUGAUAACAACUCUGAAAUUUUUUAGACUUGUUUUAUGGCUUAGUAUGUGACCAAUAUUUUUGAAUGCUUCCUAUGUGCUAAUUUAUAAGAAUGUGUGUUCUCUAAUUGUUGAAUACAGAGAUCUGCAUAUGUCUAUUA